AUACGGAGGAUCCGAGCGUUAUCCGGAUUUAUUGGGUUUAAAGGGUGCGCAGGCGGAAUAUUAAGUCGGCGGUGAAAGUUUGCAGCUUAACUGUAAAAUUGCCGUUGAUACUGGUAUUCUUGAGUGUAUAUGAAGUAGGCGGAAUUUGUAGUGUAGCGGUGAAAUGCAUAGAUAUUACAAGGAACUCCGAUUGCGAAGGCAGCUUACUAAAUUACAACUGACGCUUAGGCACGAAGGCGUGGGUAUCAAACAGGAUUAGAUACCCUGGUAGUCCACGCAGUAAACGAUGAUUACUCGCUGUUUGCGAUACACAGUAAGCGGCUUAGCGAAAGCGUUAAGUAAUCCACCUGGGGAGUACGUUCGCAAGAAUGAA
rnacentral:rRNA from 1 species